rnacentral:misc_RNA from 1 species
GAUGAAGAACGCAGCGAAAUGCGAUAAGUAAUGUGAAUUGCAGAAUUCAGUGAAUCAUCGAAUCUUUGAACGCACAUUGCGCCCCCUGGUAUUCCGGGGGGCAUGCCUGACCGAGCGUCAUUACAACCCUCAAGCUCAGCUUGGUGUUGGGCCCCGCCGCCCCGGCGGGCCCUAAAGUCAGUGGCGGUGCCGUCCGGCUCCGAGCGUAGUAAUUCUUCUCGCUCUGGAGGUCCGGUCGUGUGCUCGCCAGCAACCCCCAAUUUUUUUCAGGUUGACCUCGGAUCAGGUAGGGAUACCCGCUGAACUUAAGCAUAUCAAUAAGCGGAGGA